ACCUGGCUGGCUCGGUCAGUAAAGCAUGGGACUCUUGAUCUUAGGGUUAUGAGUUCAAGCCUCAUUCUGGGUG
rnacentral:tRNA from 1 species